rnacentral:misc_RNA from 1 species
AAUUCUCAACUUCAAAAGUUGUUACUAACUUAUUGAAGCUUGGAUGUGGAGGUUUGCUGGCAUCUUAGAUGUUCAGCUCCUCUUAAAUGCAUUAGUGGAAUCCCUAUUUGUUGGUCCAUCUUGGUGUGAUAAUUAUCUACACUGAGUUUGGUUCAACUGUCAGGUUGGGUUAAGGCCCUUAUCCUGGUUGUGAUAUUGCAUUAGUUUGCUUUAUCUGAUUGUGGGAAAUUAUCUGCUUUCUAACCGUCUGUGCUAUGCAGACAAUUUAUUGACU